rnacentral:rRNA from 1 species
UACGGGGGGGGCAAGCGUUGUUCGGAAUUACUGGGCGUAAAGGGCUCGUAGGCGGCCAACUAAGUCAGACGUGAAAUCCCUCGGCUUAACCGGGGAACUGCGUCUGAUACUGGAUGGCUUGAGUUUGGGAGAGGUGAGUGGAAUUCCCAGUGUAGAGGUGAAAUUCGUAGAUAUUGGGAAGAACACCAGUGGCGAAGGCGGCUCACUGGCCCGUAACUGACGCUGAGGUGCGAAAGCGUGGGGAGCAAACAGG